CGGCCGAGUACACCGGGAGGUAGCCGGACUUCCGGUCCGGCGUGCUGUCGGCGUACGCCAUGCCGUCGUCCGU
rnacentral:tRNA from 1 species